UAUUGCUUACAAAUCUUAUAAUGAGAUCAUGCUUGUAGAUUUUAUUUUAGGCAUAGUCCUUACUCGUGGAAAUGGUGUAACAAUCACUUACACCCGCUCCAUUGUGCAGCGACGGUGCAAAUUGUUGAAUCUAAAAAGGUAAAAUUUAUCUUUAUAGAUCUAUAAGUUCUGAUGUUGAUGCACUCAAUAGCGGGUGCAUGAAAUCCUCAUCCAUAGGUAUGAUAUCACAUGAUGGAGCAAGUCUCGGGGUUUUGUUCAUAAACAACCUUGCCAUAAGGUGGAUAAGGGUUAGAACAAGGUGGAUACGGUCGAUAUGGAGCAUAACAUUUAGGGCAUGUGCACCAUUGAGGACAUUGUUGGAUCGGUGGUGUAGGAGGCUUCUCAGGAGGUGUAGGAGGCUUCUUAGGAGGUGUAGGAGGCGUACAACCAUUACACUUCUUGUUGUCACAAUUGGAGCAAUUACAUUUACACUUACCAUCACACUUUGAAUCUUCACAUUUAAAGCAAAUUGUGACACAAUGUUUCCCAUCACACUUUAGACUUUCACAUUUUGGGCAUUUAUCACAUUUUCCAUUACAACUCAAGUCAUGACACUUGACGCAAGUACCCUGCAAAACACUACGACAUGCUUCUAUCAUUUUUUUCUUUUCAUCCUCUUUUUUCUUUUCUUCUUCCUUUUUCUUUUCUUCAUCAGAUUUCUUUUUCACCUCUUCCACACUAAGUAUGGUGACACUAUUGAACUUUUUCUUUAGCUGGUUUGCUAAACAAAUUGUGUCCACAUCAUCACCGAUCACACAUAUACUAUCCUUGUCAUUUCCUUCCAAUGAUACCGAAGUUACACCUAUAAAAAUCGGUCACUGACUUGGUUAGAGACGUAAAUAGUUGCCAAAACAAUAGUCGCUAAAGUAUAAAUAUUAAAAAUCGGUCGCUAAUUUGAUUAGCGACAAAAAUAGUGAUCAAAAUAGAGGUUGCUAAAGUAAAGAAUAGUAAAAAAAUGUCACUAUUUCGGUUGCUGUUUAUAUGGCCCCAAUGCAAAAAAAAUAUUGGAUUCGUCCCUGACUGUGUACCAUCACACUUAAUCAUAUACGCAUUUCCCACGAGAGAUCUACACUUGUGCCACUAAGACAAUUGAUUUGAGUUACCUACGUAUAAACGAGUGCGUAAAUAGUGAGAAAUACUCUAUCCGUUUUAAAUUAGUUAUCCCUAUUUACCGUCUUUCUUUGUCUUAAAAUAUUUAUCUUUUUAUAAUAUAAAUAUAAUAUUUCAUAUUCUUUUUCAAUAACAUCAUUAUUAUUGCAUUCUAGUCAUCUAAUUCAUCUCCUAACUACAAUUAAUAAUGAUGUUUUUGAUAAAUAAAACAUAUUCUAUCAUUAAAAUCAACAUUGGUAAAACUAAAAAAUAGCACAUACUCACCUCUCAUCACUAUUACAAGAAAAAAAAAGUUUAUUGAAUAACUGACAUAUGUAGUCUAAUUAUAGACCAGAAACAUCAAUUAUUCAAUGAAUUUAAAAAAAAAAUUACUUAUAAUUGUGAUCGAAAGGGGUACUUUAAGACAAAAGGAUUAUUAAUAUAUAUUUUCUUAAGUAAAUGUAAUCUCUUGAAGUUAUAAUUUUUGUCUUUAAGGAGUUAAAGGAAUUGAGAAGAUAAAAUUUUAAAUUUUCAAGAUUUUGGUUGCACAAUUCUCAUAUUAUAUUUUUAUUUUUGGUUUAUUAAAUUGUUUUACAAGGACAUAAGUUAGCAUUUUACAGAAGGUGGAGUGCCAAAAAUACUCUUAUAGUAAAUAUAGUCAUAUACUCAAUCACAUAACACCGUCCUUAUGAAAUUGAAGGUUUGACUCUCAUAGUAAAGAUAGUCCUCUAGAAAAAAAUGUUUAUAACAUUUGUUUUAUUUUUUGAAAGGAUGAUUAUAAUGUUUGUUAUUAGAGCUUUGUCAUUUUAUACGACAUGUAUGGGUCCAAAAUUACAAUAAGUGCUCUUAAAAAAAAGAAGAAAAAAAGUUAUAUUGUGUUUUUUAUUUCUAAAUAGAGAAAUGAUAUUUGUACAAUCAUUUUGUGACAGCUUUUUGACAACUCACUCUCAUCUUCACAUUAUGUUUUUAUUCUCUCUCUUCAUUUUUCUCCAUCUAUUGUUUUUGACCAAAAAAAAAGAGAAAAAAUUGUCACAAAAGUUAUCUCAAAUGAUUGUUCAAAUAUCACUACUCUUGUAAAUAUACAGUCCAAUAUGUUGAUGAGAGUUGGACUAAAUCAGAGAAAGAAGAGAGAGUAUUUAAGACAUAUAUGGACCUCAAAUACAUGAAAAAUUAGGCCCUUUGAUGCUCGAAAAAAAAUUAGUUAAAGGAGAAAAACAUAAAUAAAUCUCUCGUGUUAAUACCAUGGGAACUCCAACGCUGAUUUCUACUACUCAGCCAUAUCAACAAAUUUGAAUUUUGUACCACGUUAUUAGUAUAUAUUGCGUUUUUAUAUACAAUAUAUAUUAUUUUGAGCCUCGAAAUUUUGUAGGUCCAACUCUGUAGAAUUGUUUGCAUCCUUAAAAACCGGCUCUGGUUUCACAAAUGCAUAGUUGCUCUCAUGUUUGUUAUGUUUUCAAAUUGUUGUAUUAAGGGUGAAAAAUUCAUCUAACAAAAGGGUGAAACUUUGGAAAUAUUACAAACAAAAAAGGGUUUGGUAUGAUUAUUACCUUGGACCUCAGCAGCAGUUUUGAGGGCUUUGUUUCUGCAUUUAUCGCAGUCCAUUUGCAACUUUAUAACCAUUUUUUGCUGUAUUUGCCAUUUCACAUAUAACUUAUUAAGGGAAUGAUCACAAAUAAAAAGAAAAAGAAAAAGUUAAAAUAAUGAUUAAGUGAUCAAAACACACCUUCAUGAUUGCUUGAGUUUGAAACAAACAGAAGUGGUUCUUCGUAUUUGUUCUCUGAGCCUGUAGUACACAUAGUAGUCGUUAUGAUAAAUAUAUAUAUAUAUUAUAGUCGCAGAUAGAAAGAAAAUGAUAAAAAAAAAUACUAUACAACUUUUGGAUAAUUGGGGUUGUUGGGGUAGACUUUUCUUUUAAUUCGUUUUUUUUCUUUCCUCCGCCAACUUUUGAAUUCUUAAAGAAAUGAGUCUUAGUAAUUUGAGUUCGAUCAGAACAUAAAUAAAAUGAUUGAAUAUCUAUAAAUUGAAUUUAAAUUCUUCUAAAUAAUUUAUCUUUACAUAGAGCUGAUAUUCAAAUUUAAUUACUUAAUUUUUAACUAGUUGUUCCUCCACGCAUAAAUCCAAUCCACAUAUUAUUGGUGUUUAUUAAUCAAUAUUGUAGAUAUUGUUAAUAUAUGUAGUGGUGUUGUCCUAGUUUUUUUUUUUUUUUUUGGUCUAAAAUACCAUUGAGCCAAGAAAGAAGUUCUGUGUUGUCCUAGUUUAAAUUGUGCUCAAAAUGAAUAAGGUGGGUGUUGAUGAAUUUGAAAUAUGAUGAUCAAAACACCUGGGCCACCUAAUAAUCUAUUAAUUGAGCAACCACCGCAAAAUCAAAUACACUUUUCAUUUUAAGAUAAAAAAUUCAAAAUAUCUCGAGACCUCAUUAAUUUGAAACGUUAGAGUAUCUUUGUAUGAACAACACCCCGCAUUGGCGAAGAACAACUGACAAUCACCAUCAAGAACAAAAACGGAGGUACUCUAAUGAAGGCGUGGGCCACAACACACUUGAAAAGAAGAAAAACAUAGAUGUAUCAUACAAAGAAAUGUUUAAUUUAGCGACGAUUAUUUGUUCAUUUUAAGGGGUUUUGAACCCUCAUCAAACGAAACAGAUGAAUUUUUGGUAAACGUUGGUACUUUUUGCGGAGGUUACUUUACAAUGUUUUAUAACCUCCACUAACUAUACGUUAUAUAACAAAAUUCGAAAUGUAAAUACUAUUAGUUGUAAUUAAUUAGGUUUUUUUACCUCAAUUACAAUAACUAUAUUAUUAAAAUUUAUGGGUUUUUCUUAUUUACAACAAAAAGGUUAAUUUUCGUUUUCAACUUUGGCAAUUCGUUAUUCAUGCCCGUCAAAAAUUAAUUUUGAAGAUUUUAUUUUAGUCAGCCACCCAAAAAGAAAUUCUGGCUUCGCUGUUGAUCAAGAACCAUAGAAUCACUAUAGCACUAACUCAAUUGGUUUGAACUAAAAGUUACUCCCUCCGUCUCACAAUAAUUGUCUUUUUACCCAUUUUUCUUUUUCUCAAAAUAAUUGUCACUUUAGAAUACCAGUGCAACAUUUAUUAUUUUUUUUCCAUUAUAAUACUCUUAUUUAUUGAAUUUUAUCCAACUUUACUACUCCACUAACUACAAUUAAUAAGGGUGUUUAAGUAAAUGAUACUAAUUUUACCAUCAAAGUCAAUAAAAUUAAUCAUUUCCUUAAUAACUGUGCAUCAAUCUUAAACGACUAUUAUUUAGAGUCGAAGGGAGUAAAAAGUUAGAGAUUUAAGGUUCAAGUUCCAACAAAAAAAAUAAAAACUUAACAUCACAAUUAACAUUCUAACAUAACAUUUGUCACUAAAAAAAACUCAACUUCAAUUGUCUAUUCUUAAAAAUUAUAUAUAUAUACUUUAUUAAAACUCGGGAAGAAAAAAAUGUAGAAAAGAAAACUAUAAGAAAAUUAACCGAGUACUAGAAACUCCCAUAGCAUCAACAAGAACCAAUUGAUGAAGAGGACAACUAAAAAAGAAUAUCAAGAAUCAGCAUCAUCACACUCCAACUUGGCUAAUGAGUCAACACAAUUGUUAACAAGUUGAGCCCAUCUCUAAUAUUUUCCACUUUCUUUUUCGAAUUAAUCAUCACCUCAUAUUGUUUCUAGAUAGGAAUGACACUACUUAAUCGUUGGAUUAUAUCUAUCAUUUUUUUAUUCUUUUGAAUUAAUAGUCACCUCAUAUUGCUUUUAGAUAAGAAUGUCAUUACUUAACCGUUGAAUCCAUAUCCAACAUUUCCUUUUUCUUUUGAAUUAAUCGUCUUCUCUUAUUGCUUUUAGAUAGGAAUGACACUACUUAACCGUUGUAUUCAUCUCUAAUAAUUCCUUUUUCUUUUGAAUUAUCGUCACCUCAUAAUGCUUUUAGAUAAAUGACAAUACUUAAUCUUUGAAUCCAUAUCUAACAUUCCUUUUUCUUUUGAAUGAACAGUCACAUCAUAUAUAAGGAUUGAUGUAGUUUUUAUGAAGGGAAAUAUAAUUUUUUUUUCAUGAUAUUUUAUUUUGCUUGUUGCCAAAGAACACACUGUAAAUUGAAUUCUUACUUCCUCAUAGUAUCUUAUACAGCAAUAGGUAUUCCUUAAGUAUUUUAAUUUUUAAAAGAUAUUGCUUUAGUAUAUUUAUUUUCAUUUAUUUUUUAGUAGCAUGGUUUUGGUAUAACAUACAAAAAAAAAAAAAAAAAAAAAAACAUGAUAUGGUGGCUCAAAUCAUAUAUGUGUUUUUUUUUUAAGGAUUAAAUCAUAUACAUGUUGCAAGCCGACUCAUUUUUGUUUACAAAUAAACUGGUUUAAGGCGUAAGGCAGCUUUAACCCUUGCUUUAAACCUCCAAAAAGUAAUUUUUUUUCUCUAAGGAUGUUUAGACCGUCAAAUAAAAUAAUUACUAUUAAAAAUAUACAACGUUAGGCCUCAAUUUUUCACUAAGCUCUUGAAGCUCAGUUGCUGUCAAUCGUGUUUUUUUUUGCUUUUCAUGUCGAAGGUUUGAAUCUUUGUGUGAUAUGUAUUUUUCAAUUUUUGUUCUUAUUCAAAAGUUUUUGUAGAGUAUACGACUCUUUUCUUUUUCAUUUUUGCAAAACAAUACUUUAUUAGUUUUUAUCUACAUGGAACACUUUGGUAAAAAUAAAAUCUACAUGGAACACUGAUCUAUUACUUAGAUAUAUAGUUAUUUAUGUUAAUAGAAGAAAAGUCAACCUUAAGCAAAAAAAUAAUAAUAAUAUCACCUAUAUUCAUAAUAUAAAAAACUUCAAAAUAUAUUUUGUGUUAUUUUUCUUUCAUGAAAACUCUCAAUUUAAUUUCGCUUUAGGUCUCAUAAUAUACUGGGUUGGCCAUGUUGGUUGUUAGCGGCCAAUACUCGGUGGAAUUUAGUCUCACAUUGAAUAGAUAGGAUUCUUACUAAUUAUAAAGGAGGCACUACUCACCGUACAAGCCGGUUUUGUGUGGAUGAGUUAAGUCUCGAUAUUCGUUACAUCGGCAACAUAGAUCAAAUUAUGUCAUAAAAUGUUAUCAUAAAUCUUAUUUUGAUUCAACUUACCAAUCUCUAGGAUUUUUUAAAAAUUUCUCUUAAAAAAUUUAUAGGACAUCCUCUGCACUUAGUGAUCUGACUAUCUUCCAACUGAUAUACUCUCUUUACUACAAAAUUUACAUGUAUUCUCUCUACAUCAGCAAGUUGAGCAGAAGAAGGGAUAGGGUGUAGAUGAUUGCAUAUUUGUUGUCGGAAGACAAGUUGUGAAAAUGUAAUACGUAGAUCAUGAAACAAAUAUUGCAACCAGUGCAAUUCAUAAUAGAGGCUAGCAAGAGCAUAAUAUUUAGCUCAGAACUUGAUAGGGAGGAAACCGUGGAUUGCAUCUUGGACUUCCAAGAGAUGAGAGAAUAACCAAUAAAUACAUAGUAACCAUAAACAAAGUGACGGGCAGCAGGGCAUGAUGCCCAAUUUGAGUCAGCAAACCCAAAUAGCUUCACAUGAGAAUUGGAAGAGAAGAAAAGUCCAUCUGUUGAUAAGCUCUUCAAAUACUUCAAGGGGGCCAAUUAUUUUAUUUUUUUAAUAAUGGUAGCGUAUAUAGCAAUACUUGGUUUAAAUGAGGUGUAUCAUAGAAAUAAAUGUAAAGAGGGCCCAAUCAUUUACUAGACUUCAACCCAUCAGUCGUUUCACCCUUUUAAUUUUACAACCCAGUAGCACUUUCAUUUUCACCCGCCAACAUUUCAUUAGCUAAAACACAAAACUUAUAAGUAAAACGUAAAUAACAUAAGCAACACGUAAAAUGCAAAAUAUCUACCCCUGCUUAGAGACCAAAUUUAUUUUUAUCUGAGAAUGCUUUUUAAGAUGACAAAUUUGGUCUUGUGUUAUUUUUGAUAAGUAACAUAUCAUAUCCUAUUUAUAAAUGAUAAAAGAUUUUCAUGUUAUUAGACAUGAGGGAAGUGUAUUUUAUAAUAUUAUGGAUUUACGAUGAUGAAUGAGAAUAAAGUUUUGACAAAUUUUUGAGGCAGUCAAUCAAUUGAAUUAUCAAAUCAGAUAAUGAAACUUAUAUAAAGCUUAGUAUGUUUAUUAUCCUUUACCGCGCUUUGUUGAGUUUGGUUCGGCCGCCAACUUUUUUUUUUGUUAUUCUUUUUUAUUAAUAAUAUAUAGGAUGAAAUGCAUUUGUCACACAAUAUUUUGUAGUGUAGGCAUAGUUGAAAUUUCAAAACAUCGGAUUAUCGUGACCGCCAUAAUCAAUGCAUAUUUCAUUUGAUGUUUAUAAAAAGUAAAAAUAAAAAUAAUUAUCGAUUAUACUAGGUGUUAUCACGAUUUUGGGGUGUCAAGUCAUUAAUUAGAUUUGAACCUUUCAAUCUUUGAUAUUCUCUAUUUUUUCUUGGGAAGGGCAAAAUUGAGAAAACCCUUAGAAAUUCUAAGUUCGGGGGUCGUUUUCACUACGGGAAGGUGUUAGGCACCCGCGAUGACUAUAGUACUCUAUAGGAGCCGUUUCCUUAGUUUUAUGUCUACGCUUUAUUUUUAAUGCUAUUUAUUAAAAAAAGAAGUUGUUUAUUUAGGUUAAGAGUGGAGGGAGGAAAAGAUUUGAAGUUUUGUUUUAUUGGACUUGGAGAGGUUUUGACCUCAUGCCUACAUACCCUUUUAAGGGAUCAAACUCCAUGUAGUUCUCUUUCAAAAAUGUUUUUGUGUGUUUGAUUGAUUUUAGUUUUUGUUGGAAAAUGGUUUUGAAGAAGAGAAAGAAGCCGUAAAGGCAUGAGAAAAAAAGUAGUGAAGAGUUGGUUCGAUUUUUAAAAGAAAAUGUCUAAGUAGAAGUUAAAGUUCAUUGAGGUUUUGAUUAAGAAAAAUAAAGAGAAAAAUUCAAUGGAGUUUUGACUCCAAGGUUUUUUUGGAAAAAUUUUCAAGUGAUGGAAUUUGCUUGUUUUUAUGGAAAAUUGAUAUUUUUCUAAGUAUCGCGUUUCCUAAGCAUACAUCUAAGGCGGUAAACAUACAACGUGUGUACGUGUCGGUGCUUGUGUCAGUGUACAUCAUUAAAGUCCAUUGUCCGUUACAUUGGCCCUAGUUUACAUUCUAUGGUCUUGCAAGAAAUUAAAGAGUGAUUUAAACUACCUAAAAAUAUUACAAGACAUUUUAACAUAGAGAUUAAAAAGAAAAAUAAUGCCUAAGCUAUGAGAAAUGGAGAUGAAAGAGGUAAGAUGCUCAUGAGGUGAAUGAAAUAAGAAAUGAAAUGGUUAGUAAUAUAAGGCAUAAAAAUGGGAAAAAAGGUAAACAAAAUUGCAUAGGAUAGCAAAAAAGAAAAGAGCAAUAAAGUGAAAUAAAAUGGCAAAAUAUACCUAGAAUUGGUUAUAACACUUAGACAUGCACAUGACCUAUAAUUCUCUCAUCAUAGCAAUGUUAAAAAGGUUUGAUUUUGAGCUAUAAUAUGAGGAUAAUAUGGACACACACAAGCCAAGCAUUAUGACAUAUUUCUAGAGAUACUUUGCACUUUAUUUCUUGACAAAAACACACAUUACUUGCAAAACAAGAAAAAAAAUGAAAAUUCACAUCACACAAACAGUAAACUACACAUAGGGUCAGAGACAUAUUCAUCAUGAAAUUGCAUAUUAAUCACUCAUAUCAUGCCAAAACCUCAUGAACGGAUUAUAGCAAGAAAAUUCACAAGUUUAAUAAAAAAAACUGAACAAAUCAACAAGAAAAUAUUACAUACAUUUUUAUCAUUUUUUAACACGUGAAAACAUCACAAAAUCAUCAAAAAUACAUCAAGAAACAUAUAGGAAUUUUUAGGAAUUUUUUGCAAGAAAAUUGGACAAGCAGAGGGUUCACAUAGCAAGAAAACAAGGUGUGAAUAGCAAGAAAAAAGUAAAAACGAAAGAAACUGCAAAGAAAGAGGCCCAAGCCCAAAACCUAAUGGUCUGGAAGCACAGGGAGCGUUGGAUUGAUCCAAGGGGAAAAACCCUAGAUCCAACGCUCAAGAUUGAAGGGAUUGGACCGGUCUUGAACCGGUCCGGUCUAGUUGUCUAUAAAAGCAUGUUAGCGCCGGUUUUUUUAUUCUUCUUUGUUCUUUCUCUCUCUUCUCUCAACCUAGUGAGAGAAGCUCUCACCUCUCUCUUCAAUUUUCUGGAAAAUCAGAAGAUGAUCUUCAUCUUCUCCGGUGAGCUUCACCGCUCCGGUGUGGUGGUUUGCCGGCCCAACAGGGCGGCGGCGCCGCACCGGAGAUGAGAAACUUCUCCGUUUUCAAUUUUUUUUACAGAUUAAGAUAUCCUUUUUUAUUUUAAACACGAAUCUGAACUUGUUUUUUACAAACAAAGCUUGAAACAACGUAGAUCUAAGAUCUUUCAUGCGAUUUUGAAAAGUUAUUCUUUAGGUUUUCUGAACGUUUGAAUCCUAGGGAUUUACAUUGUUUCGUCUUUGUUGAUACUUUGAAAGGAAAAUGAUGAAGUUUGAGUGUUUUUACCUCUGGUUUGAUUGGAGAUUCGAACGGAAAUCUUCGAAAAACUUUGAUUUGAUUCUGUUUCGUUGAUGUUGUUCUUGAAUCCGAAAAUAAAUCGGUGAUGCUCUUCUUCUUCUUUACCGGUUCGAAUCUUCUUCUUUUUCUCUUCUUCUCAAGCUUUCAGAUCCUUCGUGAUCAUGCUUGAAUUCGUCACCAAUGGUGAUGAAUUCGCACUGGAAUUGCGAAGGAAUUGAUUCGAUGAUGAAGAUUCGCAAAGAAUCUCUGAGAAUCGCAGAAAAAAAUGAUGAAUUUGAUGACUUUUUGAUGAUUCUGGAAUUCUAGGGUUUUUGAUUGUUCUUGGUGAUUCUGGAUUUUGAUCCUAACAGAAAGGAGAGAGAAACUUCUCACGUGUUUGUGAGUUGGCACUGAUUGCAUGGGUCUGUGUGGCACUGUGCACCUUUUAUAGGCUGCCAUGUGUAUUCCUGGACCAAUGGGGUAAUGCCACCUGGAAUUGGACUUGGGACUUUUCUGCAAAAAAGAAAAGUAAAAGGACUAAACUGCAAUAAUGAAAAAAGGACUUAAAAUACAAUAAUGAAAAGUAUUGGAAAAAAAUGUAAAUUUUAAAAGGUUUUGGACUAAAGUGUAAUUCUGGAAAUUGUUUGAGGGGCUAAAAUGCAAAAAAAUGAAAAUAAAAUGAAUUAAAAUUGGUAAUUUGACCAAAUGUAAAGUGAAACCUAAAAUUAAAAUCAAUAAAAGGACUAAAACGAACCAAUUACUGACAUGAGGUAUUUUAAAAUACCUCCCUGUCGAAAUUUUGACAGGAAAAGACCAAAAUGCCCCUAGGGACUAAACUGACUCAAACUGACUCAGAUGCAAUUUUGAAAUGAUUUUAAACAGAGAUUUCAACAAUAAUUUGUACAGACAAGUUAAAAAGACUCAGAGACAAUCACAGGGACUAAAAUGGGUUCCACUGCAGGAAAUGACCAAAAUACCCUUUUGUAUGAUUUUUUGAAAUAAAACGCAAGAAAAAGUAAUGCGAUGUUUCAGAGAGUUUUCAAAUGACUUAUAAUGCAAGAAAAAACGUUUUGAAUAGUUUUAUGCAAGAAAAUCAUGCUUGAAUGUACUUUGAGACAGAGACAGUAAAAUAUGCGGAUGGAAAAAGGUUUAGAGUAAAAUAACAGAGAAUUGACAAAUAUCAGUGUUAGAAAAGAAAUUUGAACAAGUAUUUUUAGGUCCAAAAUCAGGGUAUAACACUAGGGUCUCUUUUGUCAAACUUGGCCUAAGGCCCAUAAAAUACUAGGAACGGGCCUGGUGGUAUCAAGGUUACCUUGCUGAUAGCAUGCAAUUUCCUGAAGUAGGUCAGUGAUUAUAAAGAUAUGCAUGUUUGUGAACCGCGUCUGCAAACAUUCUAGACCACCAUGACACGAUCGCACCCCAUGAUUGACUUAGCGAUGAUUUUCGAAAUAGAUCGUUGGAUUCAGGAAAGUACCAUAUUGUCGCAACAAAUCCAUGGAUCCAUGGUUCAUGAAGAGGAUCAGACAGAUGAAGAGUACCAUCAACAAAUUUCAACUUGUUCUUAGAGAUUAGCGCUACCUUCAUUGAGCAAGAUCAUGUCUAUGAUAGUUUUUGUGAUCAAGAAGAGGAUAACAAGUAUAAUAGAUGAAUUCUCAUUAGGGUGAAGGUAAUAGGGAUCGGUAAGGUUUGUGGCGAAAUCAGCAAAAGGUUGAGUCUCCAAUGAUCAUCGGAAGGAAGAAAAGCCGAAGUGAGCGAAACAUGAUACCAUCUUAAAUAUCAGAGCAGCAAGAAUUGAGAUGUAAUUCUCAUUUUAUUGUAUGUAAAAAGAUUAUUUACAUAUAGAGCUGCUAAUGAUUUAUAUAUAAAGUAUAAAACUACUAAAGUAAUGUAACUGGUAUAAAACUAAUAAAUAGGAAGGAGAAAAAAUUAAGCGGCUUCCUAACUAUAAAUAAGAUAAAUUAGCAUCUUUAUAAUUAGGUAAUAAGACCUCAUCCAAUGAUACCGAACAGUAUGCCCCUAAUAAGACCCCAUAAAAUGCUUUGGAAAAUAAAAAUAGAGGCCUAAAGCAAAGAUUUGGUACCUUAUGCUAGGGUUGGUUCUAUUAGAAGAGUUGGAAAGUUGAUUAGUGGAGGGAGAUUCAACUGAGUAGGACACAUCAGAGAAUACAUUAAGGUGGAUUGCAAAUUCCACUCGUAGUUUUUCAUUCAUAAUUCAUGAAGACUUUCUAUACAAGUAGUCGAUCCCCUUUUAGCUAACCAUCGGCUUUGAAACCAGAGUUGGCUCAUGAAGCAGUCCGGGAGAUCAACACGUUGGGUUUGAAAUCACAUCUUCAUCCAAAAUCUUAAGCAUUAGAUAUGUGGAUCAUCUCACUUAUAUGUCGCUCACACUUGACACAAACAAAAGGUAAAAAUGGGAAAUAAUUAUUGUUGAAGGCUAUUAUUUCGGAUCGUCAUAGCACAUCAUGUGUAUUAUGUUUCAAUUAGAUGAGAAAUGGUAUUACAUUUUCUUGAUAUGUUCUCUAAUACAAAAAUUUCCAUGACAUGUUUAAAUGUAUGGGUGUCAACAUUUUCAAGAUAAUGGCAAUCAAAUAAGGAAAGGAAGGUGAGAGACAUUUAAUUUGGUUAGCUACAACUUAGAGAUGGCAAACAUGAGAAAUAACAUUAUUUUUAAAGGUGAGAAAUUCUGUCAAAAAAAGCAAGAUCAAAUAUGCAUCUUGGUUUUGGUGUAUGGGUAGAAUGGGGAAGCAUUCUAAUUAUGUUAUGUUCUGGUUGAGAAUUUUUUUCAGUUGGUAUGCAAAGCAUUUGAGACUUUUUUUUUUUUUUGUAAGGGUUCCAUAGUAUUUUUUAUUUAUUUAUUACAAUAGUAUAUUUCGCUUAUUCUACCAAUCUCAAUGGAAGAGGCAACCUAUUCAGUGAGCAACAUCUUGCAUAACCAUGUAGGAUGAGACGAGUUUAAAUUUAUACCCGUUUUGCUGCAACAAAUAUGUAACAAUAUUCUCAAUCAUUUAGAGCCUUACAAUGAUGAAGAAUUCACUAAUGCGUCUGGGUAUGUAUGAACUUCUUCGUGAGCCUUAAAAUUGUAUGCAUAACAGAAUUUUCUCAAUCAUUUGGAGCUUGAAAGUUCUCGAAAGAUUGCGAUGCUUGAUUUAGGUUUGCUAGAGGAGCCAUUCUUUUCAAUUCUGAAAGAUACAUGAGGCACCUUACGAAUUCACCAAGUUAUCAAUUAUGUGCUGCGACAGAAACAACAUUAUGGCAGAGUUAUUUGGGAUUCUAUACAGUUUGCAGCUGAUUGUCGAACAAGGUUUGUCCAAUGUUGUGACUGAAACCGAUUCCGGGGAGGUUUUGACUAUUAUGCAGACCUGUUGUGUUCCUAAUCAUCGUUGGUCGACUUGCAAAGAUACAAAUACUCUAGUUAAGAUGAUUGGUUGUGUGGAGGGAACUUAUUCCUCAAGAAAAAAAAUCAAGUCGCAGACACUUUUGCCAAAGAGGGUUUAAACAGCAGAUGAAGAUGCAUAUUUUUAUGGCUUAAAUAUGUAUUUCAUUCUUGCAAUUAGGGUCGUUUAAAAAUUGGUCUCUGUAAUCGCUAAUCCUGCCAAUUUACCCUUGCACUGUUUAAUCAUUUAAAAUUUCGUCCCUCUCCCCAUUUAAUCACUGCCAUGUCACUAAUUUGAUGACGUGGCAAUCACUGCCAUACAUGAAAUUCCAAUUUUACCCCUGGGUUUCCAAUUCUUUCUUCAAUAUUUUGUCCUCUUCUUAAGGGCAAAAUUGGAAUUUCAUGUGUGGUAGUGAUUGCAACGUCAUCGAAUUAGUGACGUGGCAGUGAUUAAGUUGGUCAAAGGACGAAAUUUUAAAUGAUUAAUGAUUUCAAGGCUAGUUUGCAAGGAUUAGCGAAUACAGGGACCAAUUUUUAAACGACCCCUAAUUGCAAGGAUGAAAUACAUAUUUAAGCCUAUUUUUAUUAAUGUUCCCAUUUUUGCUAUUCAACCUUUGAAGCUCAUAAUUUGGAUACUUUUUUUUCCAAAGGUUGUUAGUUUGAUUCAUGGGGUUAUUCUCUUUUGUUCAAUAUAUCUUGCUUAUAAAAGAAAAGUUUGAAACUAUGGUAGAUAAGUUUUAAAGACAAUUUAGAAAAUUGAUAAGUUCGACCUACAAAAUUUUCUCAAUGUUUUUUUAGUGGAGUUUUUUCAAUGUUAAAUGCAAUAACCAAUUUACAAAAUUGAUAAAUACAAAAUAAAAAAUUGAGUUGAGGAGCUAAUUCGGAAAACAAUAAAAGCAGAUAAAAGCUGUAAAAUUAAGUGCAAUGUAGUAUCUUGGAGUAUAGUUGGUAACACCAAAUUUGUUUUCAAAUUUCAAACCAUCGAAAACUUUACAAUCUCUUCAAAAUAAAAUUUAAAAGUACUUACUAGUUAUGUAAGUAAAGUUCGGUUGAUAGCACAUUGAUAUGCAAAGGUCUGAAAUUAAUUUCAAGAUCACUACUCUUCUGCAUUUAAAGUGUGUGAAUCACUAAACUACUUUAGAGAGAAAUACGAAAUUUAAAAGUACUACACUCUCCGAUGGUGAAACUCUGACCACAUUUCGAACCCGCACCUCUUUUAUUUAUGUAACCUGGAUACAAAACUUGAUGAAAAUCCACUUCUUCAAUAAAUGAUAAAUCCUCAUUUUCUGCAAGAUUCUUGAUAUUCCAGUUACUAUAAGGAUAUGAUGUUUUGUGGGUAAUAUGAAUUUCACCAAAAAAACGAAGCAUAGACUUAGCACUUCUUAGAAACCCACUCACUAAUUUCUUGUGUUGCCUGUAAAAGAACAAAACUUUAUUAGGGCAAAAUCACGUAUACUAACUAGAAAAAAAAUGUUGAAAUAACAAUGCAAAUUAGAGUUUCUUGAUGAUCAAUUUUAUUUUUCCGUUUCUAAUUUCUAUUGUUUUUUACCGUAAAAAAACAAUGGAAAUUGGAGAAGGGAGAAAUAAAUUUGAUUACAAAGCAACUCUAAUUAAUUAAAGAUUGAAUAUUAAAGACAUGUUUUGCUUUAUCUGUCACUAUUUCAACUUUUUCUAAUAGUCACAUGCUAAAAUUUCUAUAUAACUUACUCAAUCACCGAUUCAUAAAUUUCACGGCUAAACAGACCAGAAUGAGGAAAAUUGAAGAUUAUUCGAUGAAAAUCAUUGCUGUGCUUGAGAUAAUGGUGUUGUUUCAUGUUGUGAACGUCUACUUCGUGCAAGAUGGUGCAGCCAAGACCUUCAAGUUCAUCCAAGUUUGAUAUUGCAUUUGUGUAUUUCCUUGCAAGAGAGGCUUCAAAAUUUGAAAUACGUAAAAAAUAUACAUCCAGUUAGCACAAAUCACGAGCACAAUUUCGAAAGAUAUCAAAUAUAUAUUUAACACAAAUAUUUACUAUAAAAUGAAUUAAGAUUGAUUCUAAAGGGAAACACAGAGGUUGUACAUUAGAUUUAGAUGCCUGAUAAUAAUUCAACAUUUUACUACCACAUUAAAAUUGAUAAUGUAAAUGGUAAACUAAAAUAGUAGAACUCACACACUCCUUUAAUUUUUAAAUAAUUAAUAAUAAUUAAAAUUUGCAAAAUUAUGCAUAUUCUAACAAGUAUUUUCAUAAACAUGAUAAAUAUACAAAAUAGUCAUAAACAUAGAUUAGUGACAGUAAAAUAGUGAUAUAUAUUUUUUUAGGAUAUAAAAUAGUGAUAGAUAUUUCGUACCUUUAUGAUGUUAUUUAAAGAAAUAAUGUGUCAAAUACUUUGGCAUAUGUAUCAUACCUCUAUCAUCCAAAGAUGUAGCAACCAUGUUUCUAGCAGAGCCAAAUGCCUUUGCUAAGCAAAGUGAGAAGGAGAAAUCUCCUUCUCCCACGAGCAAAUUUUUUUGAGAGCUUUUAUAAUGUGUUAUACUUUUCUUUUCCAUUUUCGUUACUCAAGUUGCUGCUAAUCGAAUGAUUAAAACCACUAAUUAUGAAUUUAAAUACACAUUUUGGUAUCCGAUGGAAUUCCCCAUAAAAAUAUAUCGAAUCUGAGUUAAUAGUAUUCACAUGUUUUUAUGUUUAAUUUGUGACGUUUUAUGAUAAAUUUGUUUAAGAACCAAUAAGCUUUCCCUUUAAUUUAUUAUUAUGUUUUUCUUUGUUUUUUUACAAACUAAUUUAUCAUUAUCUACUUGGAAAACCCAAUUUUAGUGGAGUGGAAUUGCAAUGCUUCCUAUUCCCAAUCAGAGGAAGCGCAUGCAAGUGAACUUUACAGUGAAUUAAUUUUGCGGUGGAAAGAAUAUUUUUGUGUUUGAAUAAGUGGUGGCAAGGAAUUAGGUGAAGCAAGAAAGAUGUCUUUAAUUCGGAAAUGGAUCCCCUCCUGCUUUUUUCUCUCAUGCGGUCCCUCCUGCAUUAUUUUCGUCUCUUUGAUUGAUCCAACGGUUGAGUCAUAAAACGCAUGAAUUAAUGGCAAACCAAAUUGUAGCGAAUUCGUUGAAAAAUCACACCAAUAACAAACUUGAUGUGUGGAGCAAGGGAUAGUCAAACAACCAAAACAAAGUGUAUGGAACAAUUAUAAAUACAAGUCAAAAGUAGAAAACAGCGAGAGAGAAAGGAAGAGAUAACACAAAAGAAUUUGUUGACCCAGUUUGGUCCAAAUUGACCUAGUCUGCGGGAGAGAGCAGCCUUCCGUUCCACUAUAAUAUGAGUAACUUUACAAAAGAGAAAGAUAUCAAUGAGUUACAAAAAUAAGUCUCCCGCCUAAUUCUACCCAAAGCCCCAGCCUCUUCCCGUAACCAAGAGAGUCAAUCCUAAUAGUGUUUCCCAAGGUGAAUCAACCCUCAAAUCCUAGUGUUUGUUCCAAAGAGACAAACUCUAUACAAACCCAAGUUUUGUUGUUGUCUUUCGAUACCCUUGUUUCAGCCCCCUCUAUCUCAAGGUUUACUCUGAUACAAGAUCUAUAUUUAUAGUAAAAGUACCGCUUAAAAUUUGGAACAAAUCUGCACCCAAAAAUACGUUUCUGUUAUUCGCUGCCAGCGCACUAUCGUGCCACGUUGUGACCCCAUCGUGGCACGAAAUUUCCAGUGACUUGCCUCACGAAAUUCUUCAACCAUCGUGGCACGAUUUUUGCAGAUCCUGAUAUUAAGUUAACUCUCACAAUUCUCCACCUUGACUUCAAAUCAGUGAUGAUGCCAAUUUAACAUCAACCACCAUUGCUGCUCUUUCCCUUGCUUCCUACUACACCAAAUAGCUCCACAAGUUUACACUUUAACCCCUUCAGCCAUCGGAAUGUCUUCCGCCUUCUCGAAGGUCCUUGCAGUCCAACUACACUAGGAAUUUUAGGUAGUUACACAAGCAUUCACCAUAACAUCUUUAACACAGGACGUCUCCCGCUUCCUUGAAGAUUACCUUGCAUCCAAUCACCCUUGAGCAUUGGGAGGGAACCUUGAGCAGCCGUAUAAUGUUUAGGACGACGACAAGCAGCAUUAGGCUCCAUAACUACCAUUGUUCUCCCAUACGACUUUAGGUGUUGCCUACUGGCCUCAUAAACCAACACAAGUCUUUUUAUCUUGUUUUAUCCGCACUUGUCUGUUUUCUAGGAAACUUCCCAAAAGGUCACAUCCCAAAAUUGCUCAAAUUCAAGAACGCUUAACUAUAAAGUUCUUAUAGAAUUGACUACCCAAAAGAAGAUCAAUCAUGUUUAUAUACGUAGUACCAAACAAUUUUUAUGAGUCCUCCUUCAACCAUGCUGUCUCAUACUUGCACGACCUUAUAAUACGGGGUUGGCUUGAUUUUUGUACUCAAUGAUAUACUAUUCUACCUAACUCAAUGGUGUGCUUUGAUGCUAGUACUCAGCUGUCACACAUGUUAUAUAAUGUGAACUCAGAAAUUUUGUUAGUCAUAAUUUAAGAUUUGCUUUUUUUAAACUACAAAUUUGUUGUUAGAGGUUCUUUUGUUAAGGAUUAUAAAAAAAAAAAAUUAUUUGAUAUUCAAUAAUUUAAAAUAUUUUUUCUCUAAAAAAAGAGGAGAGUUGUUUUGUUUUCGUUUACCAUAAUGAAAAUAACUCUGUUUUUUUAAAAUUUUAAAAGUCGGUAACUAGAACCAUUCUUAGUCUAUUUUUCUUCAUAUUUCCAUUUUAUAAAAAAAUCUAUGACAAAUGGAUGAAAUUUUUAAAAGUUAUUUUUUUACAUAAAUAUUGUAACAAACGAGCUCUAAUAUAUAAUACUACAUCAGUGCUAUUUAACGCGAGAUCUUUUAUCCCGAAUGAUUCACGAAAUCUCCGUCAUCCAUGAUUGAUGGGUGUAAGUGGGGUCCAACCUUUCAACUAUGCAUGCAUAGCAAUCGCGAUCAUGUCGUGGUACAUUUGUUCGCUGUGUUAAGCAUUUCCGAUAAUACUAAUGACGGUUCAAAUUAAUCUACAACUUAUUUCUCAAACUAUUAUGCUUGAGGCCUAAACCACUUUAUUGCUCCUUGAAAGCAAUGAUGAAACUUACUUGGAAGCAAUUUUUUUUCACUAUAUCAACUACUAUAUAAGAGAGAAGAUGAACAGAGGGAAAAAUAAAGCAAGUUUAGAAGAAUUACAUUACAUGAUAAUAAUGAAUACAAACAAACCAAAUAAAACCCCAUUCUUAAUUGUUAACUUGGGGCUUAAAAUUGAGAUCAAUUAAAUUAGUAACCAAAAUUAGUGAUAGAAAAAAAAAUUCAUCGCUAAUUCAUUAGUCAUUAAAUUUAAGGACAGAAUCAGAUAGAUGAAUUUUUCACAUUUUUUCCAAUCAAAAUUUGUCACUAAUUUACUUGUUUUUUCUCAUGCAAAGAUUAAUGAAUACUUAAGGCAUAGUCCCUACUCGUGGAAAUGGUAUAAGGAUCACUUAUACCCCGCUACAUCAUGGAGCGACGGUGCAAAUUGUUGAAUCUAAAAGGUAAAAUUUAUCUUUAUAGAUCUAUAAGUUCUGAUGUUGAAAUCAAUAGCGGGUGGAUGGAAUCCUCAUCUGUAGGUAUGAUAUCACAUGAUGGAGCAAGUCUCGGGGUUUUGUUCAUAAACAACCUUACAAUAAGGUGGAUAAGGGUUAUAACAAGGUGGAUACGGUCGAUAUGGAGCAUAACAUUUAGGGCAUGUGCACCAUUGAGGACAUUGUUGGAUCGGUGGUGUAGGAGGCUUCUCAGGAGGUGUAGGAGGCUUCUUAGGAGGUGCAGGAAGUGUACAACCAUCACACUUCUUGUUGUCACAAUUGCAACAAUUAGCCUUACACUUACCAUCACACUUUGAAUCUUCACAUUUAAAGCAAAUUGUCACACAAUGUUUUCCAUCAC
rnacentral:lncRNA from 1 species